rnacentral:rRNA from 2 species
AGAGUUUGAUCCUGGCUCAGAACGAACGCUGGCGGCAGGCUUAACACAUGCAAGUCGAACGCACCUUCGGGUGAGUGGCAGACGGGUGAGUAACGCGUGGGAACGUGCCCUUCAGUUCGGAAUAACCCAGGGAAACUUGGGCUAAUACCGGAUACGUGCGAGAGCAGAAAGAUUUAUCGCUGAAGGAUCGGCCCGCGUCUGAUUAGCUAGUUGGUGGGGUAAUGGCCCACCAAGGCGACGAUCAGUAGCUGGUCUGAGAGGAUGAUCAGCCACAUUGGGACUGAGACACGGCCCAAACUCCUACGGGAGGCAGCAGUGGGGAAUAUUGGACAAUGGGCGCAAGCCUGAUCCAGCCAUGCCGCGUGAGUGAUGAAGGCCUUAGGGUUGUAAAGCUCUUUCGGCGGGGACGAUAAUGACGGUACCCGCAGAAGAAGCCCCGGCUAACUUCGUGCCAGCAGCCGCGGUAAUACGAAGGGGGCUAGCGUUGUUCGGAAUCACUGGGCGUAAAGGGCGCGUAGGCGGCUUGAUAAGUCGGGGGUGAAAGCCUGUGGCUCAACCACAGAAUUGCCUUCGAUACUGUCUGGCUUGAGACCGGAAGAGGUAAGGGGAACUGCGAGUGUAGAGGUGAAAUUCGUAGAUAUUCGCAAGAACACCAGUGGCGAAGGCGGCUUACUGGUCCGGUUCUGACGCUGAGGCGCGAAAGCGUGGGGAGCAAACAGGAUUAGAUACCCCUGUAGUCC